rnacentral:rRNA from 1 species
GGGCAACUGUGCUUACAUUCGUGGCUUACCAUGCAGUCGAACGGUGAAGCCCAGCUUGCUGGGUGGAUCAGUGGCGAACGGGUGAGUAACACGUGAGCAACCUGCCCCUGACUCUGGGAUAAGCGCUGGAAACGGCGUCUAAUACUGGAUACGAACUGGAACCGCAUGGUUACUGGUUGGAAAGAUUUUUUGGUUGGGGAUGGGCUCGCGGCCUAUCUGCUUGUUGGUGAGGUAAUGUCGCACCACCUCACCGACUUGCAGCCGUUUCUACGAGGGUUACCGGCAACACUGAAACCUGAGACACGGGCCAGAUUCCUACGGGAGGCAGCACUGGGCAAUAUUCGCACAAUCGGCGGAAGCCUGAUGCAGCAUCCCCGCGUGAAGGGGAUGACGCCCUUCGGGUGCUAAACCUUCUUUUAGCAGGGAAGAAGCGCAAAGUGACAGUCACCUGCCAGAAAAACGCGCCGGCUAACUACGUGCCAGCAGCCGCGGUUAAUACGUAGGGCGCAAGCGUUAUCCAGAAUUAUUGGGCGUAAAGAGCUCGUAGGCGGUUUGUCGCGUCUGCUGUGAAAUCCCGAGGCUCAACCUCGGGCCUGCAGUGGGUACGGGCAGACUAGAGUGCGGUAGGGGAGAUUGGAAUUCCUGGUGUAGCGGUGGAAUGCGCAGAUAUCAGGAGGAACACCGAUGGCGAAGGCAGAUCUCUGGGCCGUAACUGACGCUGAGGAGCGAAAGGGUGGGGAGCAAACAGGCUUAGAUACCCUGGUAGUCCACCCCGUAAACGUUGGGAACUAGUUGUGGGGUCCAUUCCACGGAUUCCGUGACGCAGCUAACGCAUUAAGUUCCCCGCCUGGGGAGUACGGCCGCAAGGCUAAAACUCAAAGGAAUUGACGGGGACCCGCACAAGCGGCGGAGCAUGCGGAUUAAUUCGAUGCAACGCGAAGAACCUUACCAAGGCUUGACAUAUACGAGACCGGGCCAGAAAUGGUCAACUCUUUGGACACUCGUAAACAGGGGGUGCAUGGUUUGUCGUCAGCUCGUGUCGUGAGAUGCUGGCCUAAGUGCCCGCAACGAGUCGCAGCCCUCGUUCUAUGCUUGCCCAGCACGCAAUCGUGGACACUCAUGGGACUACUGACCGGGGUCAACUCGCAGGAAGGUGGGGAUGACUUCAAAUUCAUCAUGCACCUUUAUGUCUUGGUCUUCACGGAUGCUACCAUGGCGGGUACAAGAGGCUGCAAUACCGUGAAGGGCGAGCAUCAAAAGCCGGUCCCAGUUCGGAUUGAGGUCUGCAACUCGACCUCAUGAAGUCGGAGUCGCUAGUAAUCGCAGAUCAGCAACGCUGCGGUGAAUACGUUCCCGGGUCUUGUACACACCGCCCGUCAAGUCAUGAAAGUCGGUAACACCUGAAGCCGGUGGCCUAACCCUUGUGGAGGGAGCCGUCGAAGGUGGGAUCGGUAAUUAGGACUAAGUCGUAACAAUGCUGCUCCAC